AGCAUUUAUUAUUGUGAAUGAUUGCUGUAAAAUGGGACCUGACGGAGUGCAAUAAAGAGCAAUAAGAGCAUGGAAUUUACUUCCUGAUAAUAUUGUAAACCUAAGUAAUCUGGAGUCCUUUAAAACAGCAGCUUUGCCAGCCAUCAGGCAACUAAAGGUGCCUCGCUCCGCAUCUCCGCCGGCUCUAAACUGACCGUGCCCUCCCCAAAGAUCACACAAGGCCCCUUCAGGUGCAUUCCCAGGAUUGGCUGAGGGGGCAGUCUCGUACCCAGACGAAGCGCUAUGCAUUUUGGGACGGUCAUGAUGCGGUUUCAGAGGAAUUCGCUUAUUUUUUUUCUUCGCUUCAGGAUUCCUGUGGAUGUCCGCGCAACAGCAAACGGCGACGGGGUACGACUCUGCUGAGGGGGGAUAGGCAGUCAUAGGUAUCAUAUGAAAAAUCAUAGUAUUUGAAGGUUCCUUAACAAGAAAUGACCCCCUUUUUGGCCGGGGGGGGGGGGGGGGGUGUACACCCCCCUUUGUAAGCGCCUGCCUUUACUCUUAUUCCUCUUGCUCUCUUGAAUAACAAUAAAAGAAAAUAAGACCAGA